GGGAGCUAUCCAAAGAAAGAAUUCAAGCCAUAUUGCAGAUUCCAACCCCAGAAACUAAAAAACAAGUACAGGAGUUUCUGGGGGUGGCUGGAUACUGUAGGCUAUGGAUUCUAAAUUUUACUGAAAUAGCUCGCCCCCUGUAUGACUCCCUUAAGGGAGAAACUCAGAAUUCACUGAACUGGACUGAUGAAUGUAAACAGGCCUUCCAGCAGCUCAAGCCAGCCUUGACAGAGAGCCCAGCCCUAGGCUCCCUGACAUUACCACGCCAUUCACCUUGUUCAUAGAUGAACUCAGGGGCAUUGCCAAAGGAGUCCUAACCCAGGACAUCAGCCCUUGGAAGAGACCUAAAGCCUACCUCUCCAAAAGACUUGAUCUGGUGGCAGGAGGAUGGCCCCUCUGCCUGAGAAUGCUAGCUGCUGUGGCAAUGUUACUUAAAGAAGCUAAGAAACUCACUUUUGGACAAAAGAUUUCUGUGGUGACCUCCCACAGUGUAGAGACUCUUAUCAAAACCCCUCCUGAAAAGUGGCUGUCAAACGCUAGAAUUCUACACUAUCAGGCUCUGCUCCUAGACCCAGAGUCAGUGAUUUUCAAGACUUCUUCAGCCUUAAACCCAGCUAUUCUUAUGCCUGACAACAACCCUGAAGUUCACAGUGUGCCUCUCCAUGAGUGUGCUGAUCUCCUCGAAAUGCAGCAGAAUCUACAGGCUGAUCUUACUGACCAGCCUUUGGGGAAUGCUGAUAACUACUUCACCGACAGGAGCAGUUUCAUCCAGGAUGGCAAAUGAGUGGCUGGAGCAGCAGUGACCACUGAAAAAGAGGUACUCUGGGUUAAGCGGUUGGUUAGAGCCUGGCACCUCAGCCUAAAAGGCUGAGCUUAUUGCUUUGACCAAAGCAUUAAAGUUAGCCACCAGGAAGAGGGUAAAUAUCUAUACUGACAGUAGAUAUGCUUUUGCUACUGUACAUGUGCAUGGAGCCAUUUAUCAAGAGCCAGGUCUCUUAACCUCAGCUGGAACUAAGAUAAAAAAAAAUGCUCUACAGAUUCUAGACUUGCUGGCAGCUGUCUAGCUACCUCAGUGGGUUGCUAUUAUUCAUUACAAGGCCCAUCAGACAGGAGCCGACCCUAUCACCCUAGGAAACAAUGUAGCAGACCAGACCUCUGGAAUAGCAACCACGUUGCUAACCGAGGAGGUAACUGCUCUGAUGUUGAUUCCUCCCACCUUAUCAGAACCGGUUUACACAAAGAAAGACCUGCAGUUAUCAUCUCAACUUGGAGCAAAGUUCCUCACCCCAGGAGGUUGGUACCAAUUAACAGACAAGUGAGUGCUGUUGCCAGAGGCACUAGGACUUGAGCUGCUACACCAGGCUCACCAAACCACGCAUUUAAGGGGAACUAAACUUGCUGAAUUGUUCAGAACUAGGUUUUUCAUUCCAAGACUCUCCAAACUGACCACCUCUUUGAGCUCCAGAUGCCCGAAGUGUUUGUUAGUAAACCUGACCAAAAGCUCUCCCCUGGAGACCACCCGGCAUCGAGGAACUGCCCCAGGAGAACACUGGGAAGUAGACUUUACAGACAUGGUAAAGCCCAGUUUACAGGGACACUGCUAUCUUUUGGUAUUAAUAGACACCUUUACUGGCUGGAUAGAGGCUUUCCCUACCAAGUCUGAGUCAGCCUUAGUGGUAGCCAGAAAGCGAUCGCAUGAGAUCAUACCUCGAUUUGGCCUUCCAUUAACAAUGGGGUCCGAUAAUGGCCUGGCUUUCAUAGCCCAAAUCACCCAAAAGUUAGCCCAGGCAUUAAAAAUUAAUUGGAAACUCCAAUGUGUCUAUUGGCCACAAAGCUCAGGGCAAGUAGAACAUAUGAACUGAACUCUCAAGAACACUUUAGCUAAGCCUGUCUUGGGAAAUGGUGAUAAUUGGGUGAGCCUUCUUCCCUUUGCUCUGCUGUGAGCUAGAUGUACUCCUUAUAUUUCUGGAAUUUCCCCAUUUGAAGCUAUGUUUGGGAGAACCCCUCCACUGGUCCUGAGGCUCUCUGAGGACAAAUUAAUUGAAAUAACUAACCAAGAUCUCAUUAAGUCCCUGCAGGCACUCCAGCCUUUGCUGACCUCCAUCCACCAGCUGUUCAGACAAAAACACCCGGACCUGCCUUCAGAGACACCAUUAAAGACACCCAUCGAGCUGGGAACUUCAGUCUUAGUGUGACGCCAUCAUCUCGACACCCUUGAAUCCCGCUGGGAAGGACCUUUCACCGUGGUGCUCAGUAACCCCACUGCAGUCAAGGUUGCUGGAAAGACUCUGUGGAUUCACCAUACUCACAUGAAGCCACUAGAAACUGCAGACAACGAGGACCUCACCCAGUGGAAAGUGCACCGAACUGGGAUUGAACUCACAACUGCCUGCUUGCAAGGCAGGCGUUUAUGCUGCUGAAUUAAAUCCCCAGCCCCUGGAUCCUCAUUUCUACCAACCAACAGGUAAGCAAGAGAAGCCCAGUCCUUCCUAUUGUAGCUGGAAUUAGUAUAUUUUCAGCCAUUGGGCGGGUGGCCACCUCCCUGGGAGUCAGUACAUAUUAGUAUAACUUGCUAUCCCAGCAGGUAGAUGAGGGGAUGAAACAAAUUCAUGAUGCUAUCGAAGCUUUAGAAAGCUUGAUUGACUCGCUAGCUGAAGUGGCCCUUCAAAACCACCGAGAGUUAGAUCUCCUAUUAGUUGAAAAAGGAGGAUUAUGCUUAACUUUGGGGGAACAAUGCUGCCUAUAUGCUAACAAGUCUGGAAUAGUAAGAGAAAACUUAGGCGAACUCCAGAGGGGCCUUGAAGAAAGGGAAAAGCUAAGACAGGGAACUUCAGGAUGGAUGGAACAAAUGUUCUCCUUCUUACCAUGGGUAACUAGUUUAGUAGCUACCCUAGCUGGCUCCCUUGUCAUGAUCCUUCUACUAGUCACCCUGGGCCCCUGUAUAAUCAUUAAGCUGACUGUUUAUAUUAGAUAGCAAAUGCAGUGCAUAAAACUGAUGAUGAUCUGUCAACAAGCCUAUGAGCUUAUUCCCCAAGAUCCAUAACAUUAGGCCAAAGGUUUGGCCUCAGUCACAACAUCAGAGGGGAAUGUUAUGGCCUUGCUCUAACCAAUGCGCCUCUGUCCUGUUCUGUAUGCGUCAUUUCGAUAGGAUUAAAUUUCCAUUUCCAGUAAAGACUUAAGUUUCAGCUUCUUGUAAAUUCCCCCAAUUCCCUUCCACAUGUUUCUGCAAGGUGUGCUGUUCCAGGAAAAACGUUUAACUGCAGAGAGCAAUAGAAUGUAUAAAGAAUCCCAGAUGUUAUCUGAAAUAGGUCAACAGUUUUGCGGUUUUUAGUUUUAAAAACCCCAUCCUUAGUCUGUUAGGUGCACAGCCUUCCAUAUUGGCUACUGGAGGCUGCGUCGCCAGGCCUGGAAAUAAAGCCUUUGCUCCAAAUUUCUUAA